rnacentral:rRNA from 1 species
GACGAACGCUGGCGGCGUGCUUAACACAUGCAAGUCGAACGGAAAGGCCCCUUUUGGGGUCCUCGAGUUGCGAACUGUUGCGUAACACGUGAGUAACCUGCCCUUUACUUCGGGAUACCUUCAGGAAACUGGGGCUAAUCCCGGAUAGGAAUCCUUGCUGCAUUGUGGGGGUUGGAAAGCUUCUGCGGUUUUGGAUGGACUCGCGUCUUAUCAGCUUGUUGGUGGGGUCGUGGCUUACCAAGGCUUUGACGGGUAGCCGGCCUGAGAGGGGGACCGGCCACAGGGGAACUGAGAUACGGCACAGAGUCCAAAGGGAGGCAGCAGGGGGGAAGAGUGAACAAUGGGCGGAGGCCGGAUGCAGCAAGGCGGGGUGCGGGAUGACGGCAGUAGGGGUGUAAAACGCAUUCAGCAGGGGCGAAGCAUGUGGUGAAGGUACCUGCAGAAGAAGCACCGGCUAAAUAAGUG